UACGUAGGGGGCGAGCGUUGUCCGGAAUCAUUGGGCGUAAAGCGCGUGUAGGCGGCCCGGUAAGUCCGCUGUGAAAGUCCAGGGCUCAACCCUGGGAUGCCGGUGGAUACUGUCGAGCUUGAGUACGGAAGAGGCGAGUGGAAUUCCUGGUGUAGCGGUGAAAUGCGCAGAUAUCAGGAGGAACACCAAUUGCGAAGGCAGCUCGCUGGGACGUUACUGACGCUGAGACGCGAAAGCGUGGGGAGCAAACAGG
rnacentral:rRNA from 1 species